rnacentral:rRNA from 1 species
GACGAACGCUGGCGGCGUGCUUAACACAUGCAAGUCGAACGGAAAGGCCCUGCUUUUGUGGGGUGCUCGAGUGGCGAACGGGUGAGUAACACGUGAGUAACCUGCCCUUGACUUUGGGAUAACUUCAGGAAACUGGGGCUAAUACCGGAUAGGAGCUCCUGCUGCAUGGUGGGGGUUGGAAAGUUUCGGCGGUUGGGGAUGGACUCGCGGCUUAUCAGCUUGUUGGUGGGGUAGUGGCUUACCAAGGCUUUGACGGGUAGCCGGCCUGAGAGGGUGACCGGCGACAUUGGGACUGAGAGACGGCCCAGUCUCCUACGGGAGGCAGCAGUGGGGAAUAUUGCACAAUGGGCGGGAGCCUGAUGCAGCAACGCCGCGUGCGGGAUGACGGCCUUCGGGUUGUAAACCGCUUUCGCCUGUGACGAAGCGUGAGUGACGGUAAUGGGUAAAGAAGCACCGGCUAACUACGUG